AGGGAGUGUUUUUCGUUGAGAAGAAAAGGGAGGGGUCGGCUCUUCCAGAGAGAGAAAGGCGAGAUUGAAGAAUAUAGAGAGAGACCGAGAGUGGUUAAAGAGAGAAUUGGGCUUUUUCCUAUUUUAAUUAAAGUUGGGCUCUUUUUUUUAAUUGGGCUUUCUAUAUUGUAAUUGGGCCUUUAAUUAAAUUCUUUGGGCCUUGUGGUAUUUAUUUUCAGUGGGCUUGAGUUGGGCUGGCUUAUUUAUUAAUUUUGGGCCUGGAUUUAUUUAUAUGGGCCGAUUUUAAUUACUGAUUGGGCC
rnacentral:lncRNA from 1 species